UACGGAGGGUGCAAGCGUUAUCCGGAUUCACUGGGUUUAAAGGGUGCGUAGGUGGAUUAGUAAGUCAGUGGUGAAAUCUCCGAGCUUAACUCGGAAACUGCCAUUGAUACUAUUAGUCUUGAAUUAUCUGGAGGUGAGCGGAAUAUGUCAUGUAGCGGUGAAAUGCUUAGAUAUGACAUAGAACACCAAUUGCGAAGGCAGCUCACUACGGAUAUAUUGACACUGAGGCACGAAAGCGUGGGGAGCAAACAGG
rnacentral:rRNA from 1 species